rnacentral:rRNA from 1 species
GGCUCGCAGUUGAAUGUCAGUACCGAGCGCAGGUCAGGUGGACGCUGGGGCGUGGGAACACAAGGCGCGUCGCUUCUCUGGUUCUGGUGUGCGCUCUCGUUCUUGUGCGUGUGUGCCCUUGGGUGCGCGGGUGCUCGUGCGUGUUGGGUGUGCCACGUUUCUUGGGGUUGCGUUCGUGUCUCUCACAAGCCCCCGUCCGUGACAAGCCUCCUCGCUUGCGUACAUAUCUGGAAUCGGUAAAUACAAUGGAGUGUGCGCGUGUGCGGUUCGGCUCAUCUUUUCCUCUGCUUUGCGUGUCUUCCUCUCUUACGUGUGCCUUCUUGCGCGCGUGAGUUGAACUGGGGAUCGCUCGGUAUGUCUAGCUCUGAGUGUGUGACUCGUGCUCGUGUACGUUAAAAGCUCCUUCGGUUUUAAAGUCACCUUGAGUAAAUCAGAGUGCUCAAAGCAGUCGUAAGGGCCUUGUGCCCUGUGAACAGUCUUGACGGACUGACUUGGUUUUGCAUGGCAUGUCGGAAGACGACGUCGUGUGCUGGCUCAGAGAUAUAAUCAGUGGUGCAAGCCAGCCUCGACGUACUGAUUAACAGGUUCGGUCGAGGGCAUUGGUAUUGCGGGGCGAGAGGUGAAAUUCUAUGACCCCCGCAAGACCUCCUGAAGCGAAAGCGUCUGCCAAGGACGUUCUCACUAAUCAUGAACGAAAGUUAGAGGAUCGAAGGCGAUCAGAUACCGCCCUAGUUCUAACCGUAAACGAUGCCAACCAUCAAUCCGCGCGUAGCACCCUUCUUAACGGGCUCGGCGGGCAGCUCCCCACUCACGGGAAACCAGAGUCUCUGGGUUCCGGGGGGAGUCUGGUUGCAAAGCUGAAACUUAAAGGAAUUGACGGAAAGGCACCACCAGGCGUGGAGCCUGCGGCUUAAUUUGACUCAACACGGGCCAUCUCACCAGGAGAGCACUCUUGUACGAUUGACAGAUUGAGAGCUCUUUCUCGAUUCAGUGGAUGGUGGUGCAUGGCCGUUCCUAGUUGGUGGAGUGAUCUGUCUGGUUAAUUCCGAUAACGUCCGAGACUCUCCCUGCUGACUAGUCGGUUGGAUCUGGUACGGUGAGUCGUGUGCCGGGAAAACCCGUGUCUUGCCGCAGGCGUCGUGGUGGUGGUUUUGUUUUGGAAGCGCGCACUUCUGAGUAGAGGGUCGAGCGCGCCAGCGUCUUUCAUCAUACUCUCAGUGUACAUUGCAUCUCUCCGGCUUUGGAUGCUGCUGUCUUCUCUGUUUUGUCUAUCUCUCCCGUGCCUCGAGCCACACACUCCAAGUCCGCCGCUUAUUCUAUAACUCUUCUUAGAGGGAUUCACGGUACUGAAGCCGUCAGAGACUGAGAGCAAUAACAGGUCUGUGAUGCCCUUAGAUGCUUUGGGCCGCACGCGCGCUACAAUGCCGGGCACAGCAGGUAGUUCUCCUGCUCCGACAGGAGCGGGUAACCCUCUGAAAGCCCUUGGUUUUGUCGUGUCUCGCGCACGCAUUCACCUCGUGAGUGUGUGUUUGUGGGAUACGAACGGCGUGAUGGGGCCUGGGACUUGCAAUUUUUUCCCACAAACGAGGAAUGCCUAGUAGCGGCGGGUCACUGAGCCCACCGUGACUCAGUCCCUGCCCUUUGUACACACCGCCCGUCGCUACUACCGAUUGGGUGUACCAGUGAGAGCCUUGGACUGGCGUCCGUUGUUGCCUUCGGGCAAGCGGGUCCG